rfam:Xiphophorus maculatus strain JP 163 A Contig224.55, whole genome shotgun sequence.
CAGUGGCGCAGUUGGUAGCGCUGUUGCCUUGCAGCAAGAAGGUCCUGGGUUCGAUUCCCGGCUG